CGAGUCCUACGGGGGGCAGCAGUGAGGAAUAUUGGUCAAUGGGCGCGAGCCUGAACCAGCCAAGUCGCGUGAGGGAAGACUGCCCUAUGGGUUGUAAACCUCUUUUGUCAGGGAGCAAUUGGCGCUACGUGUAGCGUUAUCGAGAGUACCUGAAGAAAAAGCAUCGGCUAACUCCGUGCCAGCAGCCGCGGUAAUACGGAGGAUGCGAGCGUUAUCCGGAUUUAUUGGGUUUAAAGGGUGCGUAGGCGGAAUGCCAAGUCAGCGGUAAAA
rnacentral:rRNA from 1 species